GUUUAUUAGAUCAAACAUUUCAUUUUGAGAAAACUACUGAACUAUCAUUAUUGUUACCACUGAAGGAAAAGCUACUAUUGUCUUUCCUGGUGGAGUAAAUGAUAUGCCAUCUGAAGUUUGAUUCUAUUGUUGCCACUCAUGUUUGGGGACACCUGAAGAAACCAAAGUGGCUUCUUACUAUUGGUUACAGUUGGUAUUGCUGUUAUCAAAGGAUGCAUUCAGUUAUUUGGAGUGAGAUGUUCAAUACUUUCCUUCCUGCAUGCAACAUUUUAAAAACCUUGCUUGGAAGAGAAGUUUAUAUUUCACACAGGAGCUAGUGAUCCUUUUGAAUUGGAAUUAUGCUUGUGUUGUCAUGACAACAUAGGAUUCCACGCUCCUGCUUUCUACAAUGUCUAUUUCUCCGAGUCUGGGUGUUUUUAAGUGUUUUAUUCAUUGGUGACAGUGUGUGGUUAUUGGCAUCAAGAAAAUAGUUCAGCCAGAUGACAUCAGCGGUGUGUGUCAACUUUGAAUUUCUAGAAUACAUUGAGCAUUUCAAAGAAGGUGAUUACAGUGUCCCUUUGAAGAAGGAGGUUUCCGUGUUAACAUUUGGUGUCCUGCAUGUAUCGUUCAAGAAGAAUAAAAAUAUUCAAGGUCAUUUUAAGGAACAGGACAGGUGCUAUAAAAGACCUGAGGCUCAUGUCUGCAGAACAACAGGCAGUCUAUAAUCUACCCCACUAGCACCAGUGAAAAGGAGUAAGUAGGCCAUUGUGCCCUAUGUGAUUUUUUUCCCAUGUAAGUAAAGCCUGUUCCCACCUAUUUUUCUGAUUAAAAUCUUAUGGAUAGACACAUCGGUAGGGAGACUAUUCCUGAGUGCUGCAUAGCUCUAGGGGGAAAAAAAGCCAAUAAGAGAGAUAAAGUUUAGGAUUUGAAAAGGAGAUAACUAUAAAUGUACAUUGGCGUUUAGGGAGAAGCAAAGUGAAACAUUUUUAGCAAAGGGUGUAGUAGAUGCUUGAAAAUAUGUUGCUACAAAAAACCUAAAUUGGACUCAACACUUCUUGAGACUUUGAUCUAAAUCAAAAGGUUUUUGGACAGCUUAUAGAUUUUUUUCUUCCCUGAAACUGUUGGAAGCCAUAGAUUUGAAAAGGAAUUUCACACAGAUAUGAUUAUCACAGCAGCGAUAAACUGUUAUCUCUACAGAACAGAAGUAGGCAAGUCAAUGUUUUGUGGGACCAGGUUCCCCAGCCAUGGAGAUACCAGAGGCUGGUGUGGGAAACCCAAACUGAAAACAUGGGAUAUUACACAUGUUAAAAGAAUCCUGAUGAAGUUUAACCAGCAUAAACUUUGCCAAAUCAUUUAAAUGUAAAUAAGAUGCUUUUAUAUUGAAUGGCUUGGAAAAGGCAACUUUUGCUCUUUCUCCACAAAUUUUAUUCAGUUUUUAUUUUUAAAGUUUUAUUUAUUUAUUUGGGGGGAGGACAGAGGGGCAGAGAGAGAAGAGAAAGAAUCCUAAGCAGGCUCUGUGUGGUCUGUGAAGAUCUUGAUUUCGUGGGGCUCAGUCUCACAAACCAUGAGAUCAUGGCCUGAGCCAAAAUCAAGAGUUAAACAGUUAGCUGACUGAGCCACCCAGGCACCCCUCCACCAAUUUGAAUUUAACAAGAAAAUAUCUUAUGCCAGCUAAAAUUUUAUCAUCUAAAGCAAUCGUUUCCACAUUUUCCAAAUUUUACUCCU
ensembl:lncRNA